rnacentral:rRNA from 1 species
UAAUUUUAAUAUAGCUUUUUCCCCGAUAAAAAAAGAUCUAUGUAUGUUUAGAUAGUAGACUUAACAUCUCAAUGUUGAAUUAUUGUUUUUAAAAUCUUACAAAGAAGCGAAAUGCUUACAAUUUUUUGGAUAUCUGGAUAAAGUUAAAAAGAAUUUAGUUCUUAAAGUAAUUGAGAAGUUAUAAGAUUUUUCAAAUAUAGAAUAACAUUUAUAAAAAAAUAUUAGGAAUAAUUUUCUAAGAUCUAUCUAAUUACAUCAUAUACAUUUAAUUACAUCUAUUUACUAAACUUUUCCUGAGUUUAUUUUUAAGUUCAGAUAAUAAUGUUUAAAUGAGUAUUUUUAAUUACAUCUAAAAAAGGAAUUCGGCAAAUUACCCUUCAACUGUUUAUCAAAAACAUAGCUUAAAGACAAUAAAUUUUAGGUGAUUUCUGCCCAGUGAAUUUUUAACGGCCGCAGUACACUGACUGUGCUAAGGUAGCAUAAUAAUUUGGCUUUUAAAUGGAGUCGGGUAUGAAAGGGACUAUGGGGAGUAACUGUCUUUUCUAGAUAUUAUAAAAGUUGCUGAGAAAGUGAAAAUUCUUUCAGUAUGUAUGAAAGACGAGAAGACCCUAAGAAUUUUAGAUAAAAAUAUGAUGUUCCAUAUAAAUUUUUGUUGGGGCAACAGUUUUGGUUAACCAAAACUCUAAGUAGCUAACAUGUACAAAUUAUUUAGUUAGAUAAAAUUACCUUAGGGAUAACAGCAUAAUUAUUUAAAUAGAUUGUGACCUCGAUGUUGGACUAAGGACUUUAUUAAAUAGCCUUUAAUAAAGCUAGUUCUGUUCGAACUGUUUACCUUA